AGUGCAUGUGUAUCUGUAUGUGUGUGCAGUAAAUGAGUGUGAUAUGCUUAGAGCUAAAAAAAAGUAUGUGGAUGUAUAAAAAUAUUUCAAUAUUUAUAUGUACUUACACUUAUAUUUAGAAGCAUUCAAUAUACGUGCCAUAAGGUAGUUUAGUUUAGGGCUCAAGCCCUGGGAUAUUUUGGAACCUAACAAUGCCCCCCUCUCAGCACCC